GAGGAAUAUUGGUCAAUGGGCGAGAGCCUGAACCAGCCAAGUCGCGUGAAGGAUGACUGUCUUAUGGAUUGUAAACUUCUUUUAUACGGGAAUAACAAGAGUCACGUGUGGCUCCCUGCAUGUACCGUAUGAAUAAGCAUCGGCUAACUCCGUGCCAGCAGCCGCGGUAAUACGGAGGAUGCGAGCGUUAUCCGGAUUUAUUGGGUUUAAAGGGUGCGUAGGCGGCCUGUUAAGUCAGCGGUGAAACCUAGGAGCUUAACUCCUAAAUUGCCAUUGAUACUGGCGGGCUUGAGUGUAGAUGAGGUAGGCGGAAUGCGUGGUGUAGCGGUGGAAUGCAUAGAUAUCACGCAGAACUCCGAUUGCGAAGGCAGCUUACUAAGGUACAACUGACGCUGAAGCACGAAAGCGUGGGUAUCAAACAGGAUUAGAUACCCUGGUAGUCCACGCAGUAAACGAUGAUAACUGGGCGUAUGCGAUAUACAGUAUGCUCCUAAGCGAAAGCGUUAAGUUAUCCACCUGGGGAGUACGCCGGCAACGGUG
rnacentral:rRNA from 1 species